rnacentral:rRNA from 1 species
GAAGGUGUACUGUGAGGUAUGCUGGAGGUAUCAGAAGUGCGAAUGCUGACAUAAGUAACGAUAAAGCGGGUGAAAAGCCCGCUCGCCGGAAGACCAAGGGUUCCUGUCCAACGUUAAUCGGGGCAGGGUGAGUCGACCCCUAAGGCGAGGCCGAAAGGCGUAGUCGAUGGGAAACAGGUUAAUAUUCCUGUACUUGGUGUUACUGCGAAGGGGGGACGGAGAAGGCUAUGUUGGCCGGGCGACGGUUGUCCCGGUUUAAGCGUGUAGGCUGGUUUUCCAGGCAAAUCCGGAAAAUCAAGGCUGAGGCGUGAUGACGAGGCACUACGGUGCUGAAGCAACAAAUGCCCUGCUUCCAGGAAAAGCCUCUAAGCAUCAGGUAACAUCAAAUCGUACCCCAAACCGACACAGGUGGUCAGGUAGAGAAUACCAAGGCGCUUGAGAGAACUCGGGUGAAGGAACUAGGCAAAAUGGUGCCGUAACUUCGGGAGAAGGCACGCUGAUAUGUAGGUGAAGUCCCUCGCGGAUGGAGCUGAAAUCAGUCGAAGAUACCAGCUGGCUGCAACUGUUUAUUAAAAACACAGCACUGUGCAAACACGAAAGUGGACGUAUACGGUGUGACGCCUGCCCGGUGCCGGAAGGUUAAUUGAUGGGGUUAGCGGUAACGCGAAGCUCUUGAUCGAAGCCCCGGUAAACGGCGGCCGUAACUAUAACGGUCCUAAGGUAGCGAAAUUCCUUGUCGGGUAAGUUCCGACCUGCACGAAUGGCGUAAUGAUGGCCAGGCUGUCUCCACCCGAGACUCAGUGAAAUUGAACUCGCUGUGAAGAUGCAGUGUACCCGCGGCAAGACGGAAAGACCCCGUGAACCUUUACUAUAGCUUGACACUGAACAUUGAGCCUUGAUGUGUAGGAUAGGUGGGAGGCUUUGAAGUGUGGACGCCAGUCUGCAUGGAGCCGACCUUGAAAUACCACCCUUUAAUGUUUGAUGUUCUAACGUUGGCCCCUGAUCGGGGUUGCGGACAGUGUCUGGUGGGUAGUUUGACUGGGGCGGUCUCCUCCUAAAGAGUAACGGAGGAGCACGAAGGUUGGCUAAUCCUGGUCGGACAUCAGGAGGUUAGUGCAAUGGCAUAAGCCAGCUUGACUGCGAGCGUGACGGCGCGAGCAGGUGCGAAAGCAGGUCAUAGUGAUCCGGUGGUUCUGAAUGGAAGGGCCAUCGCUCAACGGAUAAAAGGUACUCCGGGGAUAACAGGCUGAUACCGCCCAAGAGUUCAUAUCGACGGCGGUGUUUGGCACCUCGAUGUCGGCUCAUCACAUCCUGGGGCUGAAGUAGGUCCCAAGGGUAUGGCUGUUCGCCAUUUAAAGUGGUACGCGAGCUGGGUUUAGAACGUCGUGAGACAGUUCGGUCCCUAUCUGCCGUGGGCGCUGGAGAACUGAGGGGGGCUGCUCCUAGUACGAGAGGACCGGAGUGGACGCAUCACUGGUGUUCGGGUUGUCAUGCCAAUGGCACUGCCCGGUAGCUAAAUGCGGAAGAGAUAAGUGCUGAAAGCAUCUAAGCACGAAACUUGCCCCGAGAUGAGUUCUCCCUGACUCCUUGAGAGUCCUGAAGGAACGUUGAAGACGACGACGUUGAUAGGCCGGGUGUGUAAGCGCAGCGAUGCGUUGAGCUAACCGGUACUAAUGAACCGUGAGGCUUAACC